UGCAGAAUCCCGUGAACCAUCGAGUCUUUGAACGCAAGUUGCGCCCGAAGCCAUUAGGCCGAGGGCACGUCUGCCUGGGCGUC
rnacentral:rRNA from 9 species